rnacentral:rRNA from 1 species
UGAAUUGCAGAAUUCAGUGAAUCAUCGAAUCUUUGAACGCAAAUGGCGCUCUUGGGUUCUCCCAGGAGCAUGUCUGUCUGAGUGUCGGAUAUCAUCCAACGCACGCCAGCGUGCGGAAUUGAGACGUCACGGUCCGUACUGCACGGACCGUGUCCCUUGAAAGUCAGAGAGACUCGCCGCGUCGCGGGAAGAUUCCCCGUGCACACCAGCGGAGGCUAAAAUGUCUUUUGCCCUUCGCGUGCCGGGAAGUCGCCGCGUGCGGCGGUCGUCGUCGGGCGAACUUUAAUUAUCUUGACCUCAGAUCAGGCAAGGCUACCCGCUGAAUUUAAGCAUAUUAAUAAGCGGAGGAAAAGAAACUAACAAGGAUUCCCUCAGUAACGGCGAGUGAAGCGGGACCAGCUCAAAUUUGAAAUCUCCGAUGCCUGCAUCGGCGAGUUGUAGUUGCGAGAAGCACUUUCUAGGUGGAUCGGUCGUGCCUAAGUUGCUUGGAACAGCACGUCGCAGAGGGUGACAACCCCGUCUGUGGCGCGGCCGGCCGCCGACGAUGUGCUUUCGAAGAGUC